rnacentral:rRNA from 1 species
UACGGGGGGGGCAAGCGUUGUUCGGAAUUACUGGGCGUAAAGGGCUCGUAGGCGGCCAACUAAGUCAGACGUGAAAUCCCUCGGCUCAACUGAGGACGUGCGGAAGAAACUGCAGGGCUGGAGUCCGGGAGAGGAGGGUGGAAUUCCCAGUGUAGCGGUGAAAUGCGUAGAUAUUGGGAGGAACACCGGUGGCGAAGGCGGCCCUCUGGACCGGUACUGACGCUGAUGCGCGAAAGCGUGGGGAGCAAACGGG